rnacentral:rRNA from 1 species
GGGUAGAAUUCCAGGUGUAGCGGUGAAAUGCGUAGAGAUCUGGAGGAAUACCGGUGGCGAAGGCGGCCCCCUGGACGAAGACUGACGCUCAGGUGCGAAAGCGUGGGGAGCAAACAGGAUUAGAUACCCUGGUAGUCCACGCCGUAAACGAUGUCGACUUGGAGGUUGUGCCCUUGAGGCGUGGCUUCCGGAGCUAACGCGUUAAGUCGACCGCCUGGGGAGUACGGCCGCAAGGUUAAAACUCAAAUGAAUUGACGGGGGCCCGCACAAGCGGUGGAGCAUGUGGUUUAAUUCGAUGCAACGCGAAGAACC